rnacentral:lncRNA from 1 species
UACAUCUUUUUGAAACUUACAACCAAAUCUUUUGAAGCCAACUAAUUGUUAUUUCAAAUUCCUGGCUAUUAUGCAAAUAUUCUUCGUAUUUUCACUAUUCUAGAUAUUUGUUGUUUACUCAGCAUUUACAAUAAGUGGCCUUUUACUAAACGCGAUAAACAAAAAUAUGUUUUUCGCUCUAACCUUGCCAUUGCAUCAUAAACAGUCACCGAUUUCUCGCAGGCUAGUCGGUCGUUUAGUCGGUUAGUCGGUGGAUAAGUCAGCUGGUCAGUCGGUGGAGCGAGCCUCCUGCUCACCUCGUUUGGAGCAGGUUUUCUUGAACUUCUUUUUUCUGGCCACUCGCAGUCACACAGCUGGUCACGCCCCCUCUUCCAAUGUGGAUAACCAAGUUGCUGGCUGUGACAAUUCCGAUCAUUGUGUAAUUUCUUAAGCAUCUUGGUGGAUAUCUCUUUUUAUAUUAUAUAUAUGAAAUUCAAGCCAAAACCUUUCAGGUUUUUCUGCCUAACAAUAUAGAACAGAAAACCAAGAUAAAUCGAACGUUUCGCUGGCUGAUCGAGUAAGCGAUCAAAUUACACUUUUUUUCGCUCAGUGAUUUCUCGUAAGAGUAUACGAUAGAAAGAAAAAAAACAAAGUAAGCAUUUCUAGAAUAUGUACAGACAAUUUUAUUUGCAUUAUUAUGUUCGCCCACGAUAUUGUACCACUGCAACAUAUGCAUACUUAAACUAAACUCUCUAAGUCCUGAUGUACAAAAAAAAAAAAAAUGGUUACAUAAAUAAUAAGUCAAGAAUUCAAGUUCCGAUUGAUGUACACGAAUGGGGGAAUAUAUGUAUAAUACUGCGACUGCGACCACGCCUACUUGCGCUUGAACAUGUUGCUGAGGCGUCGCUUGGGCGGCGAGUUCUGUAAAGGAAUAAGUGAACAUGAUUACACAUAACGAACAUACAUAUAUCAUCAUCAUAGAUCAUCAGCAAGAUUUGUGCGUUUCCCAUUGCUUUCGUUGCCGCUUCUAAUUGCGUCCGGGGCACGAAUAGGUGAGAAAGACGAGCCCCAUUCCCGACAAGAUGCCAGUGAUCACCAGCACUAGCUUGUCCGCCAGAUGCAAGGACAGCCCCACCAUGACCAGCAAUGCAAAGCCCAUGACCAAUCGCUGGCCAAGACUCAGAUGGCGUAGGAACCGCCUGCACUGAGCCAUUAACGAGCGGUGGCGCGUUGGCCUGCGCUGUUGCAAGUCCGAUGGUUGCUGGACAUAGGUGAUAUUGAUCUGCGGCAGCGGCUGCAUGUGCACACUGCCGAUCGAAUAGACUGUACAAGAUGAGGCGCCGGUCAUGUUGGUGGCACAGCUAGUCGUAGUGAUAUUACUGCAAGAGGCGGCCACCAGUUGUGUGAAUUUCGGCUCAACUUGCUCCUCAUCAAGCGGCUUGUAGUCCAGCGGCUGCAGCUGAAAGGGUGCCGUGGAUUCCGUCUCCUUGCACAGCUGCUCGAAGUACCAGUCGUUCUGGGUCUCCUCCAUCAUCACACUUUCGCCACCAUGCAUUGCCCAGGUGACACAGUUUUCGUGCUCAAAUUGUUGCUGCAGCAGCGAAGUCUCGCUGCGCUCCUCCACGUUGAAUGUGGUGGACACGACCGGACUCAAUCGCCUCUUGCCCACCAGCACUACCGUCUUGCCCAUCACGUUAUUCUCGCUGGGCAGGUGCUCCUCCUCGUUGCGAUUGUGUAGACUGUAAUUGUUAUUUUCGGGCGACUUGGCCGCCUGAGCAGAGUGUGAUAGGCGCAUCUGAUCCAGGUGACGGGCCUCAUCGAAGCGUCCCAUUAUCCGAUCACGGCGCAACUUCCGGCGUAGCUGCACCCUUUUCCCGGCUACGAACGACGCUGGCCGGCUCUUGGCAAAAAUGUUGCCAUGAAGGGACAGCGAAACGCGUCCUUUUUUCGACUUAGUUGUGCCAGUGAGACGCCGGGUAUUGCCUUUGGUCAGGGCCAGCAAUGCUGCAGUGGACAGAUGCGGAGUGCCCUGUUGGUCGGCGUCUUCUAGAGGCUCCAACUCUGGCACAGCAUCGGGCUCCACUUCGAUCACUUCGUCUUCGGUUUCAACAGCCUCUGAUUUGUCCGCAUCACUGGCGCCGAUCAUACGCUGCUGAUCGUAGUAGGAGCGGCUUUUGCGUGGCGUUGAUGUACAAAAUAUGUCCACCGCAUGGCGCAGCCUACGCCGGUGUAUUCCGGUCAGAAGAUUCGGCCGCUUGCGCCGCGGCAGCUGUGGGAUAGGCUAGGCGUAUUUGGUCAGUUGCCGGCUGCACUCGAGCCACAAGCGAAGACAACACGAGAACACCACGAGGACGAAGACACAAACAUGGACGAAGCACGAAAGCAAGCAACUAUGGCACAUUUGACGUUCCCAAUAAACUACAGCUUUUGACUACUCUAUUGACCAAUGACACUGAACUAUGGCACGCACAUCAAACAUAACAAUCUUCCCAAUACUUACCUCGUCCCGGGGUAAACCGCUGCUGCCAACGCUGAAUCGCUGCGUCAGGAACUUGAAGCGCGCCGGCGUCUUGGAGGUAUUGUUAUGGUCGCCGAAUUCACGCAAAAUCUCGCGUGGCGGCUCCGAGCUACCGAAUGACAAACGGCCGCCGUUCUUGCUCGGCGUGGGCGGUCCAGGUCGUUUGUAGUGGGUGCCCAUGGAUUUCUUGCGCGUUCCGGUGCUCGAAGAGCUCAGCAAAGCACUCAUGCUGUCAUCCAGACUGUGGGGUCCGUCCUGCAAAGAAUACAAACAGUAUAAAUAAGAAUUGCAGAACUGAAGACAACGAAAUUUUUGGACGGCAACUGGAUUAUUGUGACACAAAAAUAUAUAUACAACAAGGCACUGAUAAGACGAGCACACAGCAAUUUCUAGACACAACAGACACUUCUAACUACAAACGUAACGUGGACAAAAGCUCACUCGGUGUCUAGUUAGGGAUUAAGAUUAAUGGUUCUAUGGGCGACGCAAAAUGCGUGCCCACUUAGCCUUCAUGGCUGCCUGCUGUGCCUUUAACGGUGUGGUAUUUGUGCCGUGUCUGUUGCUGUUGCUGCUGCUGCUGCUGCUGCCACUACUGCCGGCGUAUCUGGCACUGGAUGUCGGAGAACUGCUAACGCUUACUUUGAGAUCUUCGUCCUGGCUGCCCAAAUCAUAUUGGGCAGCAUAAGUGCUCUUCAAAUGCGGCGGUUGCAACGAAUUCCGAUAAAUCAGCUCCUCGGCUCUGCAUGGAGAAAAAAAGGGUACAUUAAUUUUGAGCAUAGAAAUCGGGAAGACCCAGUGCGCUUACGUCAUGUCUGCCGGCACACGGCCCAAUUUGAGAUCCGUCAGGUAAGUGUUGUUAAAUACCUCGCCCUCUUCAUCUUCCAUAGCCAGAUUGGAGGACGGUACAUUGGGCCGCUUGAAGGGCUGCCAGUCAUCGUUCGGCGCCGACGAACUGGACGAAACGGUGAGCGUUGUGCUGGAUGGUUUCGUUUCGCUGAUGGGCUGCAUCUGCAGGUGACGCAGAUUGGUGCUAAUGAUCGCAUGCUGCUUCUGCUGCUCCAGAAUCUUCUCGUUCAACCGUACAAUCUGAUUGGAUAGCUUGCGUGUAUGCUCUUCGUAUUUGGCAUUCUGCAAGUAAAUGGAAUUAAUAACGUAACUUCGCAAGCAGCGAGCAUAUCUAUCUACCUGUGCGGUGAGUGCCUCCAGCUCCGACGCGCUUUUGGCCGCAUCCCGUUCCUGCUUCUCCUUCAUGCGCGUCACCUCCGCCGUAUACAAGGAACGCUACAGAUGGAUGAUGUUGUGUCAAGUGUCCGUGUGCGUGUGGGUGAACGUGGACGAGUUAGGGCAGUGUAUAUAGUCAAGUGAAGGUGCGCGUGUGGAUUUCGGGCGGCACGCAUUUUUAAAGGACGAAAAUGAGCGAGAAACAGCAGUGAGGACAUUGACGACAAUACAAACAAUAAUAAUAAAAAAACAACAAAAAAAACAUUCUUGGAAAUACAAAUCGCUCAUUUAUCAAAUAUGACUUAGUACAUAUCACAAAAUGUAAAAAACUUAUAACAAAGUCUACCACGUCAUGUGUGGCCCUAAUACACGAUAGGACUGCGCGACUUAAAGAUUACAUUGAUGCCACUUAUGUACAGGAUGUAAUACAAAAAAAAAACGAUUAAAAUAAUUAGGCCAAUAAAAAGCAGCAUUAAUUGCGGCCAUCGCCGACGGCGUGACCCCUUCUUGGGUUAUAUAUACAGUUUUCGGACCGACCGCAAUUGUGAUUUUAAAUGGGUGAUUUUCGUGGAAAGAUAUUGGGUGGAAAUAGAAAGGAAAGAUAAAGCAUUUUUAGUUUUAUUGAUAAGGAAAAGUGAAUUAAAUAAAUCUAGUUAGCUGCAAUCGCUAAAGCAAAUUUGGAAAUCUAACUAGAAUCUGCUUGGGUUCAGUAAUUGAUGAUGCAGCACGAUUAUGGCUAAUGUGAUUGAUGUGAUUGAUGCAAUUGCUAAAUGAAAUUUUAAUUAAACUUAUGUAUAACAUCUCCUCCUUCUGAAACGUAUGCAUUUUCGCAUUUUCAAACGGAUAAGAUUGAAAAUUCACUAUACAUAUAGUUUGAAUACCUGAUAAUGCACUGUGAGUCAUUUCGAGGAGCUUAAGUUUAAUAGUUUACACUGAACAUAUAACAUCAGCUACGUCCCAUUUCAAAACUAGUUAGUAGUUAAACGAAACAAUGACAUAAACAUGCAAAAGCAAAAGCAAAAAAAAAAUGGCAUGGUGCUAAAAUAGGAUGACAUCUUUAGGUUUUGUCCUCCGCAGACAGCCAAGUAAAAAAUGGAGACACCAAUUUGUACUUGGUGGCACAAAUCAUGCGAUUAAGGAUAACAGUGACAACUCGCGACCAUGCCAUUUAAUGGAAACCAGUAGUUUUCCGUUUUUGGAAUCUCGUUCUAGUAGUUCGCAGCGACUUACCAUCUUGUUUUUCAUCUUCUCCAGCUUUCCCUCCAUCUCAAGACGCUGGUCCUUUAUCUUCUUCUCGCAGCGCUUAAUCUCAUCCUUGGCAUCGCGAUACUUGGCCUGCAAUAUCUUGCAGUCUAGCGCUAGCUUUUGGUAUCUCUCCUUAUCCUGAUCCGACUCCGUUUGGCGUCCUUCAGCCGCGCUAUAUGUGUCGCCAAGAUCUCUUACGCCCUCCGCCUGGUUAGACUGGAUGGAAUUUAGUUCUUCCAACUCUUGGUUGGAAGCGAGAAGCAGCCGUUCAAGAGCUUCCACGCGAUUCCUAUAGAAUUCGAUGAGUUCACACAACUCGGCAUUUUUAUUCCCAACUUCACGAGCCGUCUCCUCCAUCCUUAGUAUCUGGGCGCCAUGCUCGAGCCGAGCGUUGUCCAACUCCCGGGUAAUUUCGUCUAAACGUCCGGUGACCACAGCCAGUUUAUUCUGGGCCUCUUCACGCUCGGCAGUCUCCGCUUCCAAGCGAUGCUGCAGUUCGACUACCUUAGGUAUAUCGGUGAUCUGGGCUAGUUGGUCCUUGACCUGGUUAUGCUCGGCGAUUUCAGUCAUUAGGCGACUCUGAACGAAAUCCAACUUACUGACUUUCUCUGCCAGCUUUCGGUUAAGAUCUUCUACCAACGAGUUGUGGGUAGCCAUCUCGGAUUUUAGCUGAUGAUGCAAGCACUCGACCUUAAAAGUUUCCACUUGCAAUUGACUUGACUUGACGUUGUCUUUUUCUUGGCAACGGUUCUCCAACUUAUUGAUCUGUUCGUAAGCAGUCGCACGCUCCUCUUCCAUCUGAGUACAGCGCAUCUCCAAUGUUUCGAUUAUGUCUUCAAGGGUGGCCAAUUUCACCUCGAACUCACGCUUUUCCUUCACCAAUCGCUCCUUGACCAGGAAAACCUCUCGCUGUGCAUCUUCCUUUUGAAGCUUCAAGUCAUCUGAUAGUUUGGUCUGUGCCUCGAAGGCCGAAUUAACCUUAGCCAGUUCUUUCCGUUCCUUCUCCAGCUCCACUUUCAGGUUAUCUACAAGCUGCUGGACGGAUUCCUUUUGACACUCCAAAUCAUCUGAUAGCUUGGUCUGUGCCCCAAUGGCAGACUUAACCUGAGCCAGUUCUUUCCGCUCCUUGUCCAGCUCCAUUUUCAGAUUAUCUACAAGCUGCUGGGCAGAUUCCUUUUGACGCUGCAAAUCAUCUGAUAGUUUGGUCUGUGCCUCAAUGACAGACUUAACCUGAGCCAGUUCUUUCCGCUCCUUGUCCAACUCCACUUUCAGGUUAUCUACAAGCUGCUGGGCAGAUUCCUUUUGACGCUGCAAAUCAUCUGAUAGUUUGGUCUGUGCCUCAAGCUGCUGGGCAGAUUCCUUUUGACGCUGCAAAUCAUCUGAUAGUUUGGUCUGUGCCUCAAUGACAGACUUAACCUUAGCCAGUUCUUUCCGCUCCUUGUCCAGCUCCACUUUCAGGUUAUCUACAAGCUGCUGGGCAGAUUCCUUUUGACGCUGCAAAUCAUCUGAUAGUUUGGUCUGUGCCUCAAUGACAGACUUAACCUGAGCCAGUUCUUUCCGCUCCUUGUCCAACUCCACUUUCAGGUUAUCUACAAGCUGCUGGCCGGAUUCCUUUUGACACUCCAAAUCAUCUGAUAGCUUGGUCUGUGCCCCAAUGGCAGAGUUAACAUGAGCCAGUUCUUUCCGCUCCUUCUCCAGCUCCACUUUCAGGUUAUCUACAAGCUGCUGGCCGGAUUCCUUUUGACGCUGCAAAUCAUCUGAUAGCUUGGUCUGUGCCUCAUAGGCAGACUUAACCAGAGCCAGUUCUUUCCGGUUCAUGUCCAGCUCCAGCUUCUGGCUAUCUACAAGCUGCUGUCCUUCCUGCAGCUUUGCCUGCAGUUCCUCUAGUUUUGUCGACAUAAGUACACAAUUUUCAAGUGCGUCCUCUUUGAGCUGUGUUAAGCUUUGAUUUUGAUUUCUCUCCAAGUGCUCGUUUUUCUUAGCCUCCAUGUCACAUUUAGCUUGAAGAGCUUUAAUCUGUUCUUCAUACGUUUCCUUUAUCUGGGCAAUUUUUUCAUCAGAUGACUUCAGUUUGUUUUUCAGAUCUUUCAGCUCGCACAACUUCAUGGAGAGGUUCCUUUCCGAAGCCUCCAGAUUUUCGAUUAUUUUCGCACGAAGGUCUAACUCUUUUUGCGCUUUUAACAAACUCUCAUUCAACUUUGAAUGCACGGUAUGCGAUACAGUGUUGUCCUCGCUUAACUUUGCGUUGACCUUCUCUAGGUUUUGGAUGGUGUCGUUUAGCUGUUUUAUCAAGGCACCCGAAUGCUGGUUGGUAUCCUUAUUUUCUAGCUCUACCUGUAGCUCAGCCACUUGCAUCUCCAAUUUUGCUUGAGAUUCCGUGAGCUUUUCUACCAACGACGAGGACUCCUCGUAUCGCACCUCCAUCUGGUCAUACAUUUUUAAAAAUUCGGUCAUACAAGUGCCCAGCUGCUGUGGGGUGUUUACGCCAUUGAAAUCUUGCUGAAGGCGAUCCCUAAUGGUAUUGAUAAACCUAAUGGCUUCCACAUGGUAGUCCUUUAUUUCCUGCUGUGCUAUGUCUAACCUCUGUGCCAUUUCUUUCGCAUUGCUUUGCUCCUUGCUUAGAGUAUUUUCCAGCUGGACUACCUUUUGCUUUCUCUUGAAAGCUUCUUCCUCUAGAUCUGUUAUGUAUUGCUUCACUUUUUCGGUGUUGACCUCUAGAGAAGUGAUGAAUUUAUUGCGUUUUAUUAUUCCAUUGAUGUUCUGCUUAGCGAGCUCCUCAUUUUUCGACCGAAGAUCAUCCAACUCCCGCUUGAGAUCAUCAGCCGAAAGCAAUUGCCCCUCAAUUAACAUUUCAAUAUUCUCAAACCGCUUUUCAAUAUGCAUCGAUUCCAGAAAGUUGGUCGCUGAGCCCAUGGUCGUGGAUUUCGGACAAUUUCUACUUCUUAAGAGUGUAAAGAUGCGGGUCAGAAAACGAUCAAAAUGAUUGUUAUGCUCAUCGAAUGCCAUGAUCUGUGCAUUCUUCGUUUCCAAUUCGAUCUCCGUUCUCUUUACAAAGUCUAGAUGGGAAUGCGUCAUGUUGUCAUGUUUAGCGCUGAGUUCAUUUAAUUGCUUCAGCAUCUGUGCAUACAUCUUGUUAUGUUCAUCAUGCAUCAUCUCCAGAUCGAUCAGUUGGCGUACGCGCCCAUUUAAGGUCUCCCCAUCUGGCACCAUCAUCAUCCGGACCAACUCAUCUUGGGCCGCGUUCUUAGCAAUUAGUUCAUUUCGACACACUUCAUACUUGGCUCUUAAAAGCUCACCGCACUGCUUCAAAUGCUGUGCAUGGCUUGCCGCACUGGCCUCUUUAUCUGCAAUUUGGCUGAGCAUAUUUUCAAGGUUUAUAUUCCUUUUGCGCAGCUCCUGAAUUUCAGCGCCCACAUCUUUUAUCUGCUUUUCCUUCUCGAUUAGCUGCAGAUUGAUAUCGGCCAAAUGUUGAUCCCCGCGAUCAAUUAUUGAUUUAAGCUCAGCGCAUUUAUCAUUAAGCCUUUCGUUGUCUAACUCCAGGUCGUUGUUUUUCGAUGCUAUAUCGACUACCUUCAUAUGACAACAACUCAAAAUGGUUUCACACUCACGGCUCGAUUCGAAACCCGACUCCAUUGCCUCCGGUAUUGUGGCCUCGAAUCCAUCUAGCUCUUUUGGCUGGCAUCCCAGCGAUACAGAUAACAGCUUGCAUUUCUCCAGUAGUUUUUCGACGCACACAGACUGAACGUCGCAUUCCUUCUUCAUUUGCGUACUCUUCUCCAACGUGUUAACAAAUUUACUUUCGAUCGCAGAAAUGGUGGACAACAGGGACGACGAUGUCCAUUCUACCGGAAACUCGUGAUCGAUAUUGUGCUUCUGAAGGAAACUUGAAAGGGCCUGACAUAGCUCCCGCUGGGAAUUGUUCAGAUUCAGCAGCUUCUCCUUUAGCUCGGCAUUCUCAUGCUCCUUCUCGCGCAACUGUUUGUCAAUCACGGAACUGGCCAAAUUCUCGGGCGUGGUGUUCGGCGACAGCGAACAGUCGAGUAAAUCCGAGGAUGCGUUUAAGACCUCGAUUCGGUUGUGCAAGUCGUCGCGGGCUUCUUUAAGGCACUUAUCCAAUUCCUGUUUAUCGGACUCCAGAGAGGAGAUCAUAACGUCCCUGGACGAUACGAUACGAGUCAAGUCGUCUACACGACUUUCAAGGAAUCGAAUGCGGUCCGUAUACUCCAGCAAUCGUUUUCCUGCCAGAUUCAGCUAUUUAAUGAAUGCAAGAUAUAACAUAUAUUAGAUUUCAUUAUGAAUUGAAUGUAAACGAAUAUAAUCUAUACAGUUGCUAGUUUUUCGCUAACAUUCGCACAAGACCCGGUGGAAUUUUCUUUAUAGUAUAGUCCCUAUAAAAUUGAACAGGUAGCUUACCUUCUCGGACAGCUCGGAAUUUUCGACACGCAAAUCAUGCAGCUUAUCGGUAAUCUCAGCGAUGAGACUCUCCUUUAGACCGAUUUCCUUUAAAAGGCAUCCCUUCAUCUGAAAUGAGGAUUAAAAGUUUUAUUAGUUUAUAGCUCCCGCUCGCUACCUGUGACCAUCUGCGCUAGUCUACCUACAUGCUCAAACUCAUAUGGCAUAAUGUGGUGGCUCUCGUUAUCGUGGUGCUCUUCGGUUAGCUUCACGUUUCUUAGUUUUUCUAGUUCCAUCUUGGCCAUCAUUUUCUCUGAAAUGCAAACGAUUAUGAAAUUACUUGUAAAAAAAUUAUGAAAGUAAUGCAUUCGAAGCAUUCUAACCUUUGUUGAGAACUUUAAUGAGCUCGUCCUUCUCCAUUUGCUGCUCCUCCAGCAAGGCCUUUUCGUAGCGCACCACCUCCAGCUGGGUACGAAUACCGCGCAGCUCCUUGGUGCGUUGCUCCAGUAGCUCCGUUUUCGGGGUCGAAGGAGGUGGCAUUUCGCAGCCAUUCAGGCGAAGUUGUUCGCGAUGAUUGCGCAACUGUGGCGUGCUGCUCGACGGCUGUGACGAUGACGAUGAGGGCGUGGAUGGGCAUGGUGCAUCAUCGCUCCUCGGAUCGGGACUCAGGCUGCUGCUGGGAAGACAUGGGCUGACUGAGGUCGAAACCCCUUGUCGGUAAACAACUGCAACGUUGGCGAUCGCCUGGCUAAGAUAUUCGCGCGUCAACAGCCUGUCCACGGUCUCUCGAAAGAAGGAUGCGAUGCAUGUCUGUGUCAGCUCCGGCAGUUUAUUGCAGAUGUUGUGAAAGAACAAGCUGGGCUUCUUAACGCACGAGUAAUGCAACAGGAGCGUGUAAACGUAAAGGCAAUCCAAAGGCAGAUCGACUUCCUUGUCAUCCUGUUGUGCAAUGAACUCGGGAUAGUUAUCUGCAUGGGAAAAUUUACAAGUUAGUGGGUUCAUGAAGUUGGAAGUGCGCUAAAUUCUCAUACUAAGGCUUCACUAUUUAUUAAUGUUUCCCUAUACCCUAUGAGAAACUAGGAAAAUAGGUAAAAAAAAACUUACGUGCUAGGAAUUCCUGCACAAGGGGGCUUUGUUCUGUGGGCUGAUCCUGCAGCUCAUUCUUCCCCUUAACAUUUUCCGUCUCCUGGAUCUUUUGAAUGAAGACCGAAAAGAAGGAGUCCAGAUCCGACUGCUCCAAGGUAAUGUAGUUCGAUUCGAUGAAGUGGCACUCGCCAAUCUGCCGCAGAAUUGGGUUAAUCUAAAUGAUUCCCAGUGCGUGAUGCGCAAUGCGAGAUUUACAUACCCACUGGAGUAGGACCUUGCGCCAGCUGCGCGUGUCCAUUGCGAAUUUUUGUGCGUUUUUAUGGGUGUGUGUGCGCCCGUAUAUGUAUGCUCAAUGUCUGCGUAGACUAAUCACACUAUCAUUGUUGGCAUCCAGUAACGGAUGUUUUCCAGAACACGGCACAGCACACAAAACAAUGUACGCGAAACAAACGGGUUUCGAUCGAAAACGCAAUUAAACAAAAAAUAUAUUUAGCACAAAUGCUCACGAAAACCGAAUAUUUGUUUUUUUUUUUGUAUUUUCCAACCAGAAGCACAACUGCUCCGAACGAGCAAUGAAAAUUUAAUGACUAAACUGAAGUCCGCAGGGCAACAAACAAUUUUGACAGUUCCACAAACGAAAACAUAGGUAACUAGAUACGAAAAAAUGCAACAACUUCUCGUUUCGGCGGCGCGUCGUUUAAUUCAAAUGCCGCAGCGCGACGCCAUGCGAGGUGCGCUCGGGUAUUGUUAUCGGGCGAUCGAUACUUUCCAGCUGCAAGCCAGGCCGCGUCCACUAGAUGCGUUUCUGCUAUCGAUAUCUGUGCGAAAGAAGUGGCUUGUGUUUCCACCAUGGCAUAUUGCAUAAUUCAAGAAACAAAUGUUUCACAUGAAAUUUGAUAAAUAAUUCAAUCUACUUUGUUACGAACUGCUUUCCUGCCUUAGUGGAACGGCUCCAACUGCAAUAACCUGUUGCUUUAAUACCAAAGUAUCCAAAGUAUAUAGUGAUAUUUUCAAUUGAAAUUAUCAAUUAAUAUAUUAAUAUGUAAUUAAUAUAUAUUAUCUAAUGUAAUUUUCCAAGUAUGGAAAAACUAGUUGAAUCCCGCUAUGCUGAAAAACUAAGCAAAUUCCAUAAUUGAAACCGCCUUUUGUGUUUACCCCAAUCUCACACAUAGAUGGCGGCACUGGUCUACAAUGCGAAUUUCCUGCCAAGUAAACAAGCAACCAAGUGGCUUCUAUUUUGGCGGGGAAUUCCAAAAUCCGAUGGCCAAUAGCGACCGAGUGUGGCCCACCACAUGUAAACUAUUAAAUUGUAAUAACAAUAAUCAAUGACCGAAAACAAUGUGCCCGGAAUUGCCACCCACCCAUCCUCGUUUCUGGGCACGCACACGAGCACAGGGUAGCCGAAAAUCUAGUUAUAGUGCUGAUCGUUAAAAAUAACGCCACCAUUAAUUCGGACAAACAAUGGAAAUGCACCGCUGAUGUACAUGUAAAGCAAAAAAAAAAAAUCAGAGAAAAAACCAAACAUUUUAACGUAAGGAAGUAGGCAGAAUAAACAAUAUGGUGGUGCGAAAACGACAAGCGGUUCAAAAACUAUUGUCUAAAUUAAGCGUUACAAAAAGAAAGCCAUCAGCUUGAUCGAAAAUCAAUAAUUACAAUACUUGAAUUUCAACUUGAAAACACCUCGCCAAAAAAUCUCGAACUAAACUAUUCCAUAACUAUUAGUUUUACAACUCACUUAAAUCAAGUUGUAAACACACGAUUUUGAAAAUAUUCAAAAGCCAGAUGGGCUGAACUAUGUGCACAAUACAAUUCUCACGUAUUUAGCAUUGAUUUCGUUACGAAGAUCGGAACAUUUCCUUCCUUUUGAUUGCCGUCUAUUUAUAAAGGCGAAUUUCCUGUUUAUAUUUUUUAUAAUACAUUUAUUUAGUCGACACAAUGGCGAGGUCGGGCCUCCGCCCCCCCCCCCCCAAAAAAAAAAAAAAAAGAAAGAACUACUCCACUUCCACAUGCAUAUGUACAUCCAUCCAGAUGGUUAUAUCUCACGGAAUCGAGCUGACACGCACCACCUGCGCCAGUGGCAACGUGUCCAGGCGCUGUAGUCGCUGUCGUUUCUCGCCGGGAUUGAGCUUGGCCGCAGCACUGGCCUGGCCACCUGGACUGGCGACCGUACUGCGACCUGAUCUCGUACCCGGACCAGAUGCGCCAGCUGAAUCCGUGCUAUCGCUCUGCGCCUCCACCAGUUUGACAUGGGCGAUGGUCUGACCGAAGAGCUUCUGCCGGAAACUGGGCCUCUUGGGCGCUCCACGAUGCACGCCAAUGUCCGGCGUAUGCGAGCGCUGAUGGCUACGUUGAUGAUGAUCAUCUCGCUCCACGGAGCGCUCCUUGUGACGAUGGCGUCGCUGCUUCUUGCGGUGCUCACCGCCACCGUUGGGCAGCAGCUCGUUGACGUAGUGCAGCGAACUGGAGGCACUGCCCGUGGAAUCGGUGCCGGAGUGACCAUGAUGCGAUUGCGCCUUCUUCGCGUGGCGCGCAUGCUUCUCCUCCAGCUCGAUUUUGUUCUUUAGCGUCACCUCCUCGAUGUGCCGCUCCUGGAAAAUGAAAGAGCAUCGCUGAGCAUCAUUCAUUGGCUUUCCUCGUAUUUGGUGUGUCCUACAAACAUGGCACGCCUGUGCUUGUCCCUCUUGGCCAGGACGACCACCCAGGCGCCGUAAGAGAGCAUGAUGCCCGCCGGUACCAGGACGCCAGCCAGCGAGUUCUCCGACUUCCGGACGCAGGCAUGGUAGACGGCCAGGAAGAGCACUGUGGAAAUGGAUUUGAGUUGAGUUCGUGGCUACAGUCGUGCUUCGCUAACAACGACCAAUUCAAAAUGAGCAUGCGAAAGUCGGUGGCAAUUCGAUUUGCGUGCUCUAAUUUAGUUUAGUUUUUAGUUUUGUUUACCAGUUAAGAAUUCGAAAAUGAUUUUAAUAAUGGUUUUCUCAAAAAUCUAAAAGAUCUUUUCAUGUAAGCAUUAUUAAAGAGAUACUUAUGAAUUUAUACCUAUGUAUGUGAAUAUUUUUCACUUGGCUGGUUUGUGUUAGGCAGGCCUGACUGUAGUAUUACAAAAAUCCCAAAAACUUACCCAGAAAACAGACGAUCACAGCCACCAGACGUCCAUUGGCUUUUCGCUCCUCCUGCAAAAGGACAACAUGGAUAUAUGGGAAUAUGAGAAACGGGGUCACCAAUUCCAAUCAAUUUGCAAAGUUGCAAAAUUGGAUUGAGAAUUUUUCAGGGCUUUUCAGGGUUGGCUCUCUUUUUGUUUUUGUGAGUGAUGCCAUAAAAACAAUUGUUUACAAUUUUCACGUUCCGUGCAUAUAGAGGCUUAUACACGGCAAAAAAAAGUGCAAAUAGGUAAAAGCAAAGAAAUCUACGUGCAUUUCUAUGCUGGACAAAAAGAAAAAAGUGAUAGUUUCUUGCAAAUAACAAAAAGUUAAGUGCCUUGGAUUUUGAAAAUAAGAUUUCAAAAAUGCUUAAAUCAACUUGGAUGCCAAUUAAUUUGUUUUUAAUUGCACAAAAGUUUCCGAAAGGGAAACUCAAUACCGAUUUGAUUAUCUUACACUUCAUAAAAUGGCGUGAUUUACACAAAAACGCUUGGGCAUUUUUUUUUUUUUUGUGUAUAUCUGGGACUUUUGUUGAUUUCGCUUCGUUAUUUGUUGAUCGCAAAAUGCGUGCCUGAUUUUAUACAAUUUGUAUUAAAUAGGUUUGGAAAUUUUCAAAAAAUAAUGCGUAUGCAUGUCAAACUCAAAUCAAUUAAUUUGGAAACACGCUUCUUCCAGUGUCAUUUUCUGCACUUGCUGUACAUUUUCCAGUUAACUAUUAAAUGGCAAAUGCAUUCUUAACAUCCACUGUAUGUGCAAAAAGAUCUAAGGCGAAAACUAAACGAACAUUUCGGAUUUUAUGAUCGGACACACAUUCUAUUCCAGUGAUUCCCAUCGAUAAUGAUGGCGCCACAAACGAUGGCGUCGUACAAACUUUGAGAGACGUCUGCAAAUCUCGGAAAAGCUGAGGAAAAUCUGAAAGUCACAGUGAUCCAUUCGUAAAUGACGUGCACGUAAAUCAAGGUGUUUCCAAUGAAUCACAACACGGUGAAAAAAAAAAAAAAAAACGAGAGCACUCAUGGAAUGUCCAUAUGGUUAUUGUUCAAGUUUUGUUUAGUUUUAAGCGAUUCAGUAAUAUAUGUAGAUGAAUGAAAAAGAUCACAGUCAUUCGAUUUUUAAUUGAGUACUGAAAAGUUAAUUAUUAAGUUCAGGUUUCUAAACUUGCGAAUUUGGCAUAUUUAAGAUAUUGUAUCUUCAUUUCGCUUCUUAAGAUACUUUUCAAAAGCACCGCCUCAAAUUCAAACUUACGCGCGACUUGAGGUCGAGGAUCUCGUUGAGAUUCUCCUGAAUGAUCUCCUCCUCCGACAUGGACGUAAUGCUCUUCCGGGCCACCAGGGAGGUGAGGGCAUCCGGCGACUUGGGCACCGCCGGAUUGGAGCACACUGUGCCCGUUCCACGCGGCAUGGCGGCCGGAAAUUUUGGCACCGGCUGGCGAUUUGAGGCGGUCGCGGACAUGGGCGUGGCUCUGCGACGGAAUAAGUGGCUUACGUACUAGUUCGGUUUGAACGGACCGCAAAAAAACAAUCGAGUUUCGGAACGGAGUGUAUUCAAAUUUUCGCAAAAAUUUCACAAUUUGUAUGAAGUGAAGAUCGCGUCCGGGCGGCGAUCAAAAAUCGAGUGAGAGGCGAAAUUGUGUGGUUACGAGCCCAAACCUCCUCGUUCCUCUUUUUUUUCGCGACUUCGUUCGAUUUCUGCGGGCGAUUUGUUGUUAUUUGUUGUUUAUUUACAUUGCAGUAAAUAAUUGUACGGCUGGCUGUGUGUGCCCCAAGUUCAUAUCGAAACUGAUGCGUAUAUAUAUAUAUAUAGGUAUGUGCGUAUGUGUGUAUGCACACAUCGACCGAAAUAUGCAGCAAUUAAAUUGUUUAUUUUUAUGCAAAAGAUUCGCAGCUAUUUUGAAAAACGAUUAUCGAUACAAAUGAGCGGCAGAAGGUAGGGGAAAAACAUGUUUUUUUAAUUCUGUUCUGUAUAUUUAAAAAAAUUUU